AAGGAAUGAAGGAAGGAAAGAAAAAAGAAGAGAAAGAAGAGGAAGGAAGGAAAGAAAAGGCAGGCAGGCAAGCACAAUGUGUCUGCAAUGGGGUGAAUUGUGAGGGAGGGGGAGAAAAGACGGGGAAGAGGUCAGGGUGGGAGUGACUUCAGGUAGGGUCUUUCCGGCCGCGGAACGGAUGAGCGAACGUGGGCGCCGUGUCCACCAGAGGGCGCAACCUUUCCCUGCCCAUCGUCUCAGAGAACUACAUCUCCCAGCGGCCCUCGGAGUGCGCGGCCCUUCUCAAACGAGCGCUGAGGCUCAGAGGCCGCUGGGACUUGUGGUUGGGACGGUGAGCCGCUGGAGGGGGCCGAGUAACUCAUUCCCAGGUCCUGAAAAAGUGUGCGGCUGAGUCCUUUCCUCCUUCCUCGGUUUCCAUG
rnacentral:lncRNA from 1 species